GAUGAAGAACGUAGCGAAAUGCGAUAUGUAGUGUGAAUUGCAGAAUUCAGUGAAUCAUCGAAUCUUUGAACGCACAUUGCGCCCCAUGGUAUUCCGUGGGGCAUGCCUGUUCGAGCGUCAUUUACCCCCUCAAGCUCCGCUUGGUGUUGGGCGUCUGUCCCGCUUCGCGCGCGGACUCGCCCCAAAGGUAUUGGCAGCGGUCAUGCCAGCUUCUCGCGCAGCACAUUGCGCUUCUCGAGGCACCGGCGGGCCCGCGUCCAUCAAGCUCACCCCCCCAGUUUGACCUCGGAUCAGGUAGGGAUACCCGCUGAACUUAAGCAUAUCAAUAAGCGGAGGA
rnacentral:misc_RNA from 1 species